AAAGUCAAUUAAAUGUAAAAAUCCCCUUCCCUGAUUGAAAUUCCUAAUUCAUCAGUUUCUCUGUCCUUUUCUCUCUCCACUCCUCUCAUAUCUCCCUUCCUCUCCUUUCUCUGUUCCUCGUCGCCGACCCAUGAAGAGCCCUUGAGCCCGUGACCGCUCGCUCGUGAACCCACCUUAGCUUUUGUUAGUGUUGCUAGUUAUUUGUAACACUAAUAACCCAAGUAGAGGGGGUUUUGGACGUGGUUGCUAGCAGAAUGAUAGAGGUGCAGGCAUCCUUGGUUGUCUGGUAUCCUCUAUGGCAAGGUUUUAGCCAUGUGAACUUGCUUGCCAUAGCUGUGUGGAACGUGGAGAGGUCUACUUUGAUGAUCGCAGCUUGAGGCAUUUUAAGCGUCUUAUUACUGAAGAUAUUGAAGCUGAUCUCAAUCAAGGUUUUGAUACUUUCGUCGAGAAAAAAAAAAGGUAUGCUUUAUUUAUUGAAAAUUUGAAAUGUAAUAAUGUUGAGAUUGUACUGUGUUGCGGUGUAUACGUUAUAUUUAUGCAUAUGUUUGAGAUUUGUACAUGAGGUCUAAU